rnacentral:rRNA from 1 species
AGUGAACGCUGGCGGUAGGCCUAACACAUGCAAGUCGAACGGCAGCACAGUAAGAGCUUGCUCUUACGGGUGGCGAGUGGCGGACGAGUGAGGAAUACAUCGGAAUCUACUUUUUCGUGGGGGAUAACGUAGGGAAACUUACGCUAAUACCGCAUACGACCUACGGGUGAAAGCAGGGGAUCUUCGGACCUUGCGCGAUUGAAUGAGCCGAUGUCGGAUUAGCUAGUUGGCGGGGUAAAGGCCCACCAAGGCGACGAUCCGUAGCUGGUCUGAGAGGAUGAUCAGCCACACUGGAACUGAGACACGGUCCAGACUCCUACGGGAGGCAGCAGUGGGGAAUAUUGGACAAUGGGCGCAAGCCUGAUCCAGCCAUACCGCGUGGGUGAAGAAGGCCUUCGGGUCGUAAAGCCCUUUGUUGGGAAAGAAAAGCAGCAGGUUAAUACCCCGCUGUUCUGACGGUACCCAAAGAAUAAGCACCGGCUAACUUCGU